rnacentral:tRNA from 1 species
CGCUUUCAAUAUGAUACUCAAGGGCUAGGAGCAAGCCCCUAACAAAGUAGUAAACCUACUGGGGCUGUGCCCAGCUUGACUGCAGGUGUUCUCUCUCAUGAUCCAUUGCUCAACUUGUGGAUGAGACACAACAUAGCCACUUUACAGCCGCACGGAGGAGCAAAGGAAGGGAUAUGGCAAAGAAAGAGACAACCAGGAGUUCCCGUUGUGGCGCAGUGGUUAACGAAUCUGACUAGGAACCAUGAGGUUGCAGGUUCGAUCCCUGGCCUUGCUCAGUGGGUUAACGAUCCGGUUGCCGUGAGCUGUGGUGUAGGUCGCAGACGCAGCUCAGAUCCUGUGUUGCUGUGGCUCUGGCGUAGGCUGGCAGCUACAGCUCCGAUUCGACCCCUAGCCUGGGAACCUCCAUAUGCCGCGGGAGCGGCCCAAAGAAAUGGCAAAAAGACAAAAAAAAAAAAAAAAAAAAAAAGAAAGAGACAACCAGACCAGACUACGGGAAAGGAAGGGAGAGGGUGGCAGAACCCAGAAAGUUUUUUUCUUUCCUUGGGACCAUCAUAACCCCUCCCACAAGAAACUUCAGUAAGUCCAUCAGCUAUCCUUCAAGGACAAGUUCCUGCUACUGUCACAACUCCAGUUCAUCUUAAAUCUGAUGAAGUUUUAAACAAGCAUAAAUUACUAAAUGAGACAAACUGGGGAGUUCCCUGGUUGUCUAGUGGUUAGGACUUGGCGCUUUCAGCACUAGGCCCAGGUUUAAUCCUGGUCUGGGAACUGAGAUCCCACAUCAAGCCGCAGCACCUACCAGCCAAAAGUGGGGAGCAGGGGAGACACACAAUCAUCUGGGGAAGAUAGGUAUUUACAAAUUACUUACCACUCCCCUUCCCCCAAAGAAGGGGAAGAAGAAGGCAGACCGGAAAAAAAAGAAGAACCAUCACAAAGCAACUCUAAAAGGACAGCUCUGCCUCUGGGAUAUGGAGAACCUGUACUCCCUCAUCUCCACUGCAACUUUGGCCAUUUACCAUUUGCUGCUACUGCUGAAGGGCAGUAGGAAUGUAGAAUCUGAGUUAAUUCCUUCAGUUUACAAGGCAAUUUAUUUUAAUUACCUGAAUAAUAAAACACUACCGGCUUUAAGACUUCUGUCAAAUCUUGGAGUUGAUUCUUUUUUUAUUUAAAGAUCUACUUCUAGGGAGUUCCCGUUGUCGUCCUGGUGCAGGGAAAACAAAUCCAACUAGGAAGCACAAUCCCUGGCCUCACUCAGUGAGCUGAAGAUCGAUCCAUCGUUGCCGUGAACGGUGGUGUAGGUGGCAGACGCAGCUGGAAUCUGACAUUGCUGUGGCUGUGGUGUAGGCCACUGGCUACAGCUCCAAUUAGACCCCUAGCCUGGGAACCUCCAUAUGCUGUGUGGCCCUAAAAAGACAAAAAAAAAAAAAGAUCUACUUCUAUAGGAAAAGAAGAUGUUGAAGAACCUCACUGUCAAAACUAGGUCAAAGUUAUAAAGUUCCGGGAGUUCCCGUCGUGGCGCAGUGGUUAACGAAUCCGACUAGGAACCAUGAAGUUGCGGGUUCGGUCCCUGCCCUUGCUCAGUGGGUUAACGAUCCGGCGUUGCCGUGAGCUGUGGUGUAGGUUGCAGAUGCGGCUCGGACCCCGCGUUGCUGUGGCUCUGGCGUAGGCCGGUGGCUACAGCUCCAAUUCAACCCCUAGCCUGGGAACCUCCAUAUGCCGCGGAAGUGGCCCAAGAAAUUACAACAACAAAAGACAAAAAAAAAAAAAAAAAAAAGUUAUAAAGUUCCACACAAAAUAGAAGUUUAAAGAAAGAAGUCAACAGCUUUCUCAACAGUUUUUAUCCCCAUCUAUAACUGUCUUUGGAUUCAUACAAUACAAAACGACCAGCAUUAAGGCAGCAAACAACAUGCCUCCUCUGUUUUUUCCAAAUAAGUCUUCAUUGAUAAACUCACUUUCUAAGCUCUUUCUCCAGUUUAAAAGUUCCAUGGCUAGUUUAAGUUAUGGCAACUCAAGCAGUUCUAUUUCUGCACUUCCUAAUUAAAAACUUAUCAGAGAACUGAUUUUUAACCAAAGUCAGAAACAGAGAGUUAGCAGAGAGUAAUUCAUGAUUAGACUAUAGAAACAAAGAGAACAUUCCACAGAGGCAAACUACCCAGUUUCCCCCUUCAGUGCUGCAACUCCAGGAAUCUAAUGAUCCUUCACUUAUUCAAAAAUGAACAUGAUAGUAAAAUUCCCUAAUGUUGACAGUAGGUGAUUUUUAACUUCACUGCUGUCUGACAGGCACCUACAGGCUUUACCUGGCCUCAAUCUGUCCAGUUUGGAACGCCAAUUAGUAGCUCCUCAAAAGCAAAUCUCAACGUAAGCCAUUAAAAAAAGUGCUUUUCAAAGUGUCAAAAACAAUGGAUCAGUCAAACUCAGCACAUUAGAACUAAAUAAAACCUGGGUGCCCAACAGAGGCUGCAACUGUCAAAGCCAAGUGACAAAGAACAUCAUUCUCAAGCAAAGAAAGGAUCAAACUCUCAAAACAGUUGUGAUACCGCCCCUCCCCCUUAAAUACAAAGAAUACUGCAGCAAUCAAACAAGUGUCUUCAUUAGUAAACUUAGCCUUUCUCUCGACUGAGGUUCCACAGUAAAGAAUUAAGCACUAAUAUCCUAAGGCACAGGUUGGCAAACCUUCUCUGUAAAUAUUUUAGGCUUUUCAGACCACCUGGUCUCCGUCACAACUACUCAAUUCUGCUACUGGAGCUUGAUAGAAGCUGCCAACAGUUAAGCAAAUGAAUGAGAGUGACUGUUCCAAUGAAACUAUGUGGACACUGAAAUUUGAAUUUCAUAUAAUUUUCACAUAAAUAUUAUUCUACUUUACAAUGAUUUAAAAACAUAAAAACAUUCUUAUAAAAAAAUUUCUUAGUUCUUUGGCUAGAUUUGGCUCUACAGGUUUGCUGAUCUAUUCCCUAAAGCAUCCUUUGUAUCUAAUAGAUAAACUUCUCUCUUACGCAUUUACAAUGAUGCUAAUUACAUACUAUACUACACAGAAUUGAGAAAACAGUCAUUCGAAUCAGUUUCUGUAUCUACAGCACUCUGUCCAGUAUGAAGCUAACUUACAAAUUUUAUUAGCACUUGUUAACUUGGGCAAAUAACUUUAUACAAGUUACACAUUACCUUUCUUUUUUUCUUUUUUUCUUUUUAGGGCUGCCUCUGUGGCAUAUGGAAGUUCCCAGGCUAGGGGUCAAAAUGGAGCUGCAGCUGUCAGUCUAUGCCACAGCCAUAGCAACGCCAGACCUGAGCCCCGUCUGCAACCUACACCAUAGCUCAGGGCAACGCCAGAUCCUUAACCCACUGAGUGAGGCCAGGCAUCAAAUCUGCAUCCUCAUGGAUACUAGUAGGGUUUGUGAACUGAUGAGCCAAAAUGAGAACUUCCACAAGUUACUUUUCUUAAAGUCUCAAUAUAUAAAAAUACAAAAAGGAACUUUCUCAUCCAGUACAAUGUCAAUGGACAAUAUAAAUCACACUGCUGCAAGUUAAAUCUCUGGUUAAUAUACACAAAUAAUAAACUCUUUUAGUAAAGCCCAGAAUUAAAUUCAUCUUUCCAUCCAUUUUGUAUCUUCAGAUAUUGUUUAUUCUUAAAGUAGAACCUACCUGAAUAAAAAUCACAAGUAUAAAUUAUAAGACCGCCUGAGACACUUACUAUCUAGAUUUGCCUUCCAGCUCCACUUCUUUCCAGACGAGUGAGCUUAAACAAGUUCCAGGCACUCUUUACUCAUCUGUUAAGAAGAGGAAAUACUUGCAACCCUCUAAGAAGAGUCAAAAGUAUCCAAUAAAAUUUAGGCAAAAGAGUUUGUAUACUAUAUAGUGCUACAGAAAUAUC